UACGAAGGGGGCUAGCGUUGUUCGGAAUCACUGGGCGUAAAGCGCACGCAGGCGGAUCGAUAAGUCGGGGGUGAAAGCCCGGGGCUCAACCUCGGAAUUGCCUUCGAUACUGUCGGUCUCGAGUCCGGGAGAGGUGAGUGGAACUGCGAGUGUAGAGGUGAAAUUCGUAGAUAUUAGGAAGAACACCAGUGGCGAAGGCGGCUCACUGGCCCGGUACUGACGCUCAGGUGCGAAAGCGUGGGGAGCAAACAGG
rnacentral:rRNA from 1 species